rnacentral:rRNA from 1 species
UACGUAGGGGGCUAGCGUUGUCCGGAAUCAUUGGGCGUAAAGGGCGCGUAGGCGGUGCGGUAAGUCACCUGUGAAAUCUCCUGGCUCAACUGGGAGCUUGCAGGCGAAACUGCCGUGCUGGAGUGUGGGAGAGGUGCGUGGAAUUCCUGGUGUAGCGGUGAAAUGCGUAGAUAGUAUGAAGACUGAUAAAGGCGAAGGCGACCUUUUAUCUAAUAACUGACGUUGAGGGACGAAGGCUCGGGGAACAAACAGG